GGUGUCCUAGUGGUUAGAGCAUCUGCCUCAAAUGCAGGAGGUUGCGGGUUCGAUCCCCAGCAGAAUCA